AUCUCUACUAAUCCUUAAGGGUGGACGGAGGGCGUCCACCACGGCUCCGUGCCCCCGCCCGCGAUUUUUUUUUGCCUCCGUGCGCGUCUUCCUCGCUCCCGCGAAUCACACCCCGCGCGUGUCGCCCUCGCCGCCGAUUCCGUGCGCGCCCCCGCCCCGUCAUAGGCGUCUCUUCCCCGCCCGUGUGAUGCCCGUCGUAGUCCCCCGCCCCUCAGUCCAUAUCUACCGGUGCGGCAUGGAGCCCAAGCUGUCUUCGGUCGGCGUUCGCGACCUCCGCCGUGUCGUCAUGCCCACCCCCGUCCUCGUCAUCCUGCUCGACGCCCGCCACGACCUCCACUGCGUCAUCAUCCCCACGCCCGUCCGGACCCCUAUCGCCAGCAUCGCAGCGCCUCCCGCACGAGGUCGCUGCGCUUGUCGAUCUGAUGGCGGCCCCCAUGGCAAAGGAGCAGGUCAGUCCCGUCCCCUAGCCUUUCCCGACUCCUCCCCCGUCUCCCCCUCCAAGCAAGCACCCGCUCCAGAUCUCCAACUCGUGUGUCGAUUCCCAGUGAGCGAGACCCCUCGCGUGUGCAACUGCAGGAGAUGGACGAUGAAGCGUUGGAUCAAGGAGAUGGAGGAGGUGGCCGCCACGGCCACCAAUUCCAGGUCGAUUAUGCCCUCUAGGGCCAUCCACAAGGGCAAGCCGUUGUCGGUGUCCUUGGCAUCGAGAAGAAGUCCACCCCUAAGCUCUAGAACUCCAGGUCAGCACCUGCACCUCCCCCUCCCUUCCUUCCACCAGAUUCUAGAUCUCUUGAUCCUGACACCAGUUUUCUUGGAUCUAUUGGCGAGUUCAUUGACUCUUGAUCAUCAGAACAUGGUUGCAAGAAUAUCUCUUCUGUGAUUAUGCGCUGAUGGCUCUACUCCUUGGCUACUAUUUCUAUUGUUUUUCUAUUUGCUAGGACCCCUUCUAUUGUUGGAAUUAUAUCGAGGAAGGUUUCCAGAGCGAAGCAUAGAUGUAGCUGGAGUUUUGUUCUCAUCAUUUUCAGCCCAAAAACUACCCGGUGGACUCAACCCUGCUUGGUAUGCCACAGUUGCAGCGAAAGUCACAAGCACCAGAGUGAACUUGCGAGCUUCCUCUAGAUCUUUCUCGUGAGAGCUGUUCUUUUGGCUCCUGUGAACACCACACCUGGAUAGGAUCCAACGCUCCACAGACCGCGCCACAUCUUUCAGCCGUUUUGGAACAAAUUUUUUCUCGGACACAAAUCUUGGAACAACUCUCAUGAACACUAGGAUGUGGAUCAUAAUAUAUGUGAAAACAGAGAGCACCAGAACCCAGAUGUGAAGCAAUGGACCUGGAGACAUGUUCUUUUAAGCCUUGAGCGUGUAUGCAUUCGUGUACUUCUUUUUAAUGGAAUUUGCUGUCUUAUUUCACAUUAUGGUUUAAUUCAUUAAUAAAUAUGUUCAGAGUGUUUGUGCAGAGACACAAUUUUUUUGGGUUUCAGAUGGUGGACAUACUGUACAUGUUAUGUCCGCAGUUGAGACUGAAUCCCCUAACGGUGAUAAUGGAGACGUUACUGGAGAAAGAGAGUUAGCACCUAUCAAGCUUUCAGCUAUUGAAGCAAUCUUUACAAGCGAAAGAGUUGAGGACAUUGUAUCUAUCUCCAAGGAUUCAGUUCUUAUCCUUGGUCAAGGUGAGAGGAGUUUGUGACACAUAUUCUAGACUGCCAGACAUGUUGUGGUCAUCUAGAUAGUUUUGAAAUUUUCCUAACAUGAUAUGAUGUCCCAGGCAACAUGUUUCUGUAUGGAACUUCUUGAAUUUGGUUCUUCAUCAUGCAUGGUAAGUAUAAUCAAAUCACUGUUUUUGCGUGUUACUAACAACAAUUGCUUCAGCAUACGCCCUUGAGUUUCAUUUGAUACCAGGUGGAUAGCUCACUGUUCUUUAGGGCAUGGUUCAAGACUUUGCAGCUUUGGAUGGUCUUUUGGCUAAAGACAGGAUGAGUUUUGGUGAUUUUGAAGAUGAACUUAUCCACCUGGAGACCUGGAGACAUGUUCUUAACAAUCACUUGCUUUGAGGUUCCAUUUGGAUACCCAUGACUAGAUCCAGUUUAAUAUUAUUGUAUAUCUUUUGUUCUAGCUAUUUCUAUUGUUUUUCUUUCUAUCCAUACAUUAUCAAUUUGAUGAUCCUGACGAUGCCCCUGAGGUGCACAUGCAUGAUCUCGCAACAGGUGCAGAAAAUGACGCCCAAUUACUGCCCUCAAGGUGUUGUUAGACUUAGUGGGUCACUACGCGAACAAUCAGUGUAGUUCUAAUCUGAACAUUUUAGUUUCAUGUAAUUGUUAUGCUCUAACAUUUUUUAAUAAAUAAUGUGUCGUU